UUGCCUAGUAACGGCGAGUGAAGCGGCAACAGCUCAAAUUUGAAAUCUGGCUCUUUCAGGGUCCGAGUUGUAAUUUGCAGAGGGUGCUUUGGCAAAGGUUGUGGUCUAAGUUCCUUGGAACAGGACGUCACAGAGGGUGAGAAUCCCGUACGUGGCCGCCAACCCGCGCUAUGUAAAGCCCCUUCGACGAGUCGAGUUGUUUGGGAAUGCAGCUCUAAAUGGGAGGUAAAUUUCUUCUAAAGCUAAAUAUUGGCCAGAGACCGAUAGCGCACAAGUAGAGUGAUCGAAAGAUGAAAAGCACUUUGGAAAGAGAGUCAAAAAGCACGUGAAAUUGUUGAAAGGGAAGCGCUUGCAGCCAGACUUGCCUGUAGUUGCUCAUCCGGGCUCUUGCCUGGUGCACUCUUCUAUAGGCAGGCCAGCAUCAGUCUUGGCGGUCGGAUAAAUGCGUGCUAAACGUACCUCUCUUCGGGGAGGACUUAUAGGGCACGCGGCAUACGACCAGCCGGGACUGAGGUCCGCGCAUCUGCUAGGAUGCUGGCGUAAUGGCUGUAAGCGGCCCGUCUUGAAACACGGACCAAGGAGUCUAACAUCUAUGCGAGUGUUUGGGUGUCAAGCCCGAGCGCGUAAUGAAAGUGAACGGAGGUGGGAACCCCUCGGGGUGCACCAUCGACCGAUCCUGAUGUCUUCGGAUGGAUUUGAGUAAGAGCAUAGCUGUUGGGACCCGAAAGAUGGUGAACUAUGCCUGAAUAGGGUGAAGCCAGAGGAAACUCUGGUGGAGGCUCGCAGCGCUUCUGACGUGCAAAUCGAUCGUCAAAUUUGGGCAUAGGGGGCGAAAGACUAAAUCGAAACUAUCUAGUAGCUGGUUCCUGCGAG
rnacentral:rRNA from 1 species